CCCUCUGGGUCGCGGAGCGGGAUGAACUCUGGCGCGAGCGGCGGCGGCGGCUGCGCUGGGGCCGCGGUGCGGUCCCGAGGGGGCAGUCCCGGAGGGGAUGGCUUUGCCCCGUCGGCGCUGGGGACUCGAGAGCAUUGGGAUGCUGUCUAUGAGAGAGAACUGCAGACUUUCCAAGAAUAUGGAGAUACAGGAGAAAUCUGGUUUGGAGAAGAGAGUAUGAAUCGGCUAAUAAGGUGGAUGCAAAAACGCGAGAUUCCUUUGGACGCCUCAGUGCUUGAUAUUGGAACUGGAAAUGGUGUUUUCUUGGUUGAACUUGCAAAAUUUGGAUUUUCUAAUAUUACUGGAAUUGAUUACUCUCCUUCUGCAAUACAGCUUUCUGGAAGCAUUAUAGAGAAAGAAGGUUUAUCUAACAUUAAGUUGAAGGUAGAAGACUUUUUGAAUCUUUCCACAGAGCUGUCUGGAUUUCAUAUUUGUGUUGACAAGGGGACUUUUGAUGCCAUCAGCCUUAACCCUGACAGUGCAGUUGAGAAGAGGAAGCAGUACGUGAAAUCCCUCUCCGGGGUGUUGAACGUCAACGGCUUUUUUCUAAUAACCUCAUGUAAUUGGACCAAGGAAGAGUUGCUAAAUGAAUUCAGUGAAGGAUUUGAACUUUUUGAAGAGCUGCCAACACCCACGUUCAGCUUCGGAGGCAGAUCUGGAAACAGUGUAACAGCUUUGGUGUUCCAAAAAACGUGAGACUUCUCACUGGACAAACUCCGUGAGCUUCGUCAGGAAGCUCCGCGGCACAGUGAGCCCGACGCCGAAAAUGCACGUGCAAACACACGCUUACCUUGCCCAGUCAGGAACUGAAUAGUGCCAUUCUUCUGGGAAGGGGAUGCAAGCUAGAUGUGUAUAUAAGCCCCCAGGGACAGGGGACAAAGAUGUUCUAGUUAGGGCCAAUUAGCAAGAGAAACAGAUUAUCGAUGAACGUUUUUGAAAAGCUUACGUUCCCCAGAGCUCUUCCAUCCAGGGAGCUGCAAGCGUGACAUUUGCUGUGUUUUCAGCACCUGCCAACUUGGAGACCGGGGCCUGUGCUCAGGACGCAGGCUUACAACCCGCACUUUGUGGCGCACAAUGCCGCCCAGCUGGCAUGCUUCGUGCCUCAAUGGUGCUAGACGUUUGGUUACAAAGCUGUGCAGAUCCACAUGCACUGAUUUCAAUAGGCAUUCCGCUUCAGGCUGCUUUCAGCUCUCAUUUUAUAUGAAAGGAGUUAGAUUGGUAUCAUUAAAUUCACUGCCAUGGUUAUUUCUCAAUGAAAA